rnacentral:rRNA from 1 species
GUGGGGAAUAUUGGACAAUGGGCGAAAGCCUGAUCCAGCAAUGUCGCGUGAGUGAUGAAGGCCUUAGGGUUGUAAAGCUCUUUUACCCGGGAAGAUAAUGACUGUACCGGGAGAAUAAGCCCCGGCUAACUCCGUGCCAGCAGCCGCGGUAAUACGGAGGGGGCUAGCGUUGUUCGGAAUUACUGGGCGUAAAGCGCACGUAGGCGGCUUUGUAAGUUAGAGGUGAAAGCCCGGGGCUCAACCCCGGAAUAGCCUUUAAGACUGCAUCGCUUGAACGUCGGAGAGGUGAGUGGAAUUCCGAGUGUAGAGGUGAAAUUCGUAGAUAUUCGGAAGAACACCAGUGGCGAAGGCGGCUCACUGGACGACUGUUGACGCUGAGGUGCGAAAGCGUGGGGAGCAAACAGGAUUAGAAACCCUAGUAGUCC